AAUGAAGUCACAUGCAUGUCACAUGGGAGAAUGACACUAACAUGCAUCGAAUACAGUUAUUGCAGCUAAAUUCAUCUCUCUCCAUCUAACCCCUAUCCAUCUCUCUUUCUCUCAUGAUUUGUAAAGGAGUAUUGAAGGGUAAUGGCAUCAUCUGCUUCGUUGAAUCAAUCGUUUUCAUCUGUUAGGGCAAAUUCAAGAAUGGGAAGGCAGAUGAUUGAAA
rnacentral:misc_RNA from 1 species